rnacentral:rRNA from 1 species
UACAGAGGUCCCAAGCGUUGUUCGGAUUCAUUGGGCGUAAAGGAUGCGUAGGCGGCGCGGUAAGUCGGGUGUGAAAUCUCGGAGCUUAACUCCGAAACUGCAUUCGAUACUGCCGUGCUUGAGGACUGGAGAGGAGACUGGAAUUUACGGUGUAGCGGUGAAAUGCGUAGAUACCGGCAGGAACACCCAAGGGGAAGCCAGCUGACUGGGAACGCGCUGACACUGAGGUGCGAUAGCGUGGGGAGCGAACCGG